UGUAAAACGUUCUGGUGAAUAAU
rnacentral:miRNA from 1 species